rnacentral:misc_RNA from 1 species
GAUGAAGAACGUAGCGAAAUGCGAUACGUAAUGUGAAUUGCAAAUUCAGUGAAUCAUCGAGUCUUUGAACGCACAUUGCGCCCCCUGGUAUUCCGGGGGGCAUGCCUGUUCGAGCGUCAUUUACCCCCUCAAGCUCCGCUUGGUGUUGGGCGUCUGUCCCGCUUCGCGCGCGGACUCGCCCCAAAGGUAUUGGCAGCGGUCGUGCCAGCUUCUCGCGCAGCACAUUGCGCUUCUCGAGGCACCGGUGGGCCCGCGUCCAUCAAGCUCACCCCCCCAGUUUGACCUCGGAUCAGGUAGGGAUACCCGCUGAACUUAAGCAUAUCAAUAAGCGGAGGA